AGCCCAGAACCUUGACUCUGAGCACAGCGCCCCUUGUGUUUGCAGGAAGUAGCUUUGCCUGCUCUUUUCAGGGCACAGCCUGGUUUCCGGAGUUUGCCUUCUAAGAUAGGACUGGAGGCUGCCCCCUGCUGGGCUCCGCUGCUGUCCAUCAUUGAUCUAUUGGAACUGAGUUAGAUUUUCUCUUUGUCAAAGAAAUCCGCUUCCAUCAGAAUACAUCCUCAUACAGUAUCCUAUGGGACUUAGUGGCUGCUUUGCUGUGAUUAAGACCCUCUUUCCCAGAGUCUGUCUCACCUGCGCUGAACACCCUUUCCAGCCCAGUGAGACUGACGCUUUUGAAGGCUAUCAAGCUGGGGAGAGGUUCCACGGCAUCUUCUCUGCUCAGAGGCUCCUUUCAUGUGGUUUUCCAGGGUAACUGGGAGAGCUCGAGCAUCUUCCCGCCUUUAUCCCGCCAUCUUGGCUCCGCCCCCCAGAAGUCAAUCCAUUCACAGUUCAAACGGCAAAGAAGCCCGCUGGAAAUAAAGACGUAGCGGCUAACUUAGCACUUCGCCGAGCAAAGAAUCCAGCAACGGAUGGCUUUAACAAAAUCGAGGCAAUGUCUGCUUUGAAAAUAGAGAGGUGUUCCUCGUAGAAAGCAAAAGGAUGAAUUACGCGGGAAGAACGGUGGCGGGAAAACGGUACCCACACAGAAGAGAGCUGGUCCCAGGUCUUCAUAGAGUGUGGGACUUAUAUGGAAGCAAAUGCCACCAGUAGAGCAUAUUCUGAAAGGACCAUUAGUCAUAUUCUCCAAAAGGAGCACCACACCAGGUUCUAGGCUGAAGAAUAAACAAGUUCACCAGCUCGAUUGAUCUAGAACUUUAAAAGCGACCUUGGAAACCACCUAGACUAAAUCCCUUCCUUCCAGAUGAGGAAAUUGAAGCUUAAAGAGAUUAAGAGAAAUGAGGCAGCUAGAUGGUGCAGUGGAUAGAGCACCAGACCUGAAAUCAGGAGGACCUCAAUUCGAAUCCAACCUGACAUUUAACACAGUAGUUCUGUGUGAAUCUGGACAAGUCAUUUUACCCCAACUAUAGUGCCAAAGAAGAAGAGAUUAAAAUUCUUGUCCAAGAUCACAAGGUAGCAUUUCAAUCCAGGUCUUUCGAAUCCAGAUUCGAUAUCGUACUAUACUAACCACUAACUUGAUUUAACAGAGGAAAAGGACGUUAUUAGAAUGACUUUAAAAAAUAGUGGCAAUUUUUUUAUCUGAAAAAUAUAUUUCUAUGAAUCAGUAAAGCUAAAAUCAAAGAAGGGGCACAUAUUUCUUCAAAUAAUUGCAAAAAUCAAAUAUCUUCAUGAAUAUUUGAAGAAUCUUCUUGGAAAUCAUUUUUAAAGUCACUAGAGCUAUGUAUUAUGCUGCAUGCAUUCCUUUUCUUACAUUCACAUGUAAUAUAACUGCUUGAUGAUUACUGCUAGAUAAUGAGCAGAGAUGGUAUAUAAAUAAAACACAACAGAAAAAUCAUAAGUAAUUACCUUUCAGAUGAACUAAGUAAAAAUUUAUUCUGUAAAAGGUCAUUUAAAAUGUGAAACUGGGACUUUUCAUAAAAAAAUGAGAAUAAGCAAAAUAUUAAGUCAUAAUAGAAACUAGCAUGAAAUGUGAUGCAUAAAAACUGCAACAUUUUGUUGUUGUUGCCCAGUAAGAUGUUGCCCUGACUAUUUCAUGGAAUUA